GACGAACGCUGGCGGCGUGCUUAACACAUGCAAGUCGAACGGAAAGGUCCUGCUUUUUUGGGGUGCUCGAGUGGCGAACGGGUAAGUAACACGUGGGUUACCUGUCACUGACUUUGGGAUAACUUCAGGAAACUUGGGCUCUUACCGGCUAGGAGCUCUUGCUGUUUGGUGGGGGUUGGUCAGUUUCGGUGGUUGGUGAUGGAAUGGCGGCUUAUCAGAUUGUUGGUGGGGUAGUGGCUUACCAUGGCUUUGACGGGUAGCCGGCCUGGGAGGAUGACCGGCCACAUUGGGACUGAGAUACGGCACAGACUCCAACGGGACGCAGCGGAGGAGAAUAGAGCACAAUGGGAGGAAGCCUGACGCAGCAACGCCACGUGCGGGAUGAGAGGCAUCGGGUAGGAUACCGAAUUCGCCUGAGACGAGGCGUGAGUGACGGUAAUGGGUGAAGAAGCACCGGCUAACUACGUG
rnacentral:rRNA from 1 species